AGAGUUUGAUCCUGGCUCAGGACGAACGCUGGCGGCGUGCCUAAUACAUGCAAGUCGCGCGGGCUACUUCGGUAGCUAGCGGCGGACGGGUGAGUAACACGUGGGCAAUCUGCCUGUCAGACCGGAAUAACGCCUGGAAACGGGUGCUAAUGCCGGAUAGAUAACUCGGUGGCAUCACUGAGUUGGGAAAGGCGCUUUAG
rnacentral:rRNA from 1 species